CUCCCUUUCACUCCUUUUACCCCCUGUCUCUACUAUCCCCCACCACACGGCUCUCCACAGAGAUCCUUACCCCCUCCCCAGGACCCCUUCCUUCUUCAUCAUUCCACCAGCAAAUGCUUAUUGGAAGCCCUCCACAUGGCAGGCACGUGCUAGGUGCUGGGGAUAGAGCAACGAACACGUCUUACCUCUGUCCAGCUUAUGCUCCAAAGCAGGAAACAGUGAGAAUCAAGAGGAAGACAUAAAACAGCUCCUAUGUUGGGCAAUGGUGAUGUGCCUGCUCCCCUUCUGCCUCUGCCAUGAUUGGAAGCUUCCUGAGACCUUCCCAGAAGCCUAGCAGAUGCCAGCACUAUGCUUCCUGUACAGCCUGCAGAACCAUGAGCCAAUUAAACCUCUUUUCUUUAUACAUUACUCGCUCUCAGGUAUUUCUUUAUAGCAAUGCAAAACCAGCCUAACACAGGCAACUUACUUCACCUCCCCAUGCCUUGGUUUCUUAAUUCGUCAAAGAGAAAUAAUAAUAUUUAAUAAUAACACUAAUCCCAUUGAGUUAUCAUGAAGAUUAAAUAAAUGAAUGUAUGUAGUGUGUCUAGAACUGUCCAUCUUCAUAACAAGAACUACAUAAGUUUGCUGUGUUAUUUAUAUUAUUAUCAUGGGCUUACUGACAUUCAUUUUAGUAUUACAUUAUUUUUAUGCUGUGCUGAAAAUGCAAGUCUUUUACCUGCCACUCCCGAUGUGUCUCUCCAGCUGCCUGCUCCAACAGACUCUACAGUUUGUCAACAUGAGUUUUUUAAUUGCAUAAAUAAUUCAUGAAUACAUUCUGAUUGAAAGAGUUAAGCAGUAUAUAGAACAAAGUUUCUAAGUUCCUUCAACAUUUGCCCCUACUCCCCUCCCACUGUCAACAAUGUGAGGUCCCCUCCUAGUUCCCUUUUAUAUACUGGCAUAUAUAUGUAUACACUUUUUUACAGUAAUAUACUAAAUUUGCAUUCCAAUUGUUAUUCAAUUUGCUUAUUUUCCUUCAACUGUAUUUUGUAGAUUUUU
rnacentral:lncRNA from 10 species